GCUCCCAGAAGGCCGCGCUCCAGCGGGGCUAGUCAGGUGGGCGCCAGGCCCCAGCCUGGCAAGAGUGGCGGCGGAACCGAACACCCGCUCCCGGAACCCCCGGCCUCGCUAUUCCCGCGCCGGCGGGACGGGGCUGCCGCCGUCAUGACCCUGUUCCACUUUGGGAACUGCUUCGCCCUGGCUUACUUUCCCUAUUUCAUCACGUACAAGUGCAGCGGCCUGUCUGAAUACAACGCCUUCUGGAAAUGCGUCCAAGCCGGGGUCACCUACCUCUUCGUGCAGCUGUGCAAGAUGCUGUUCUUGGCCACUUUCUUCCCUACCUGGGAAGGCGGCAUCUAUGACUUCAUUGGGGAGUUCAUGAAGGCCAGCGUGGAUAUGGCAGACCUGAUAGGCCUAAACCUUGUCAUGUCCAGGAAUGCCGGCAAGGGCGAGUACAAGAUCAUGGUUGCUGCCUUGGGCUGGGCCACGGCUGAGCUCAUUAUGUCCCGCUGCAUCCCUCUCUGGGUCGGAGCCCGAGGCAUUGAGUUUGACUGGAAAUACAUCCAGAUGAGCAUUGACUCCAAUAUCAGUCUGGUCCAUUACAUCGUUGCAUCCGCCCAGGUCUGGAUGAUAACUCGUUAUGACCUGUACCACACUUUCCGGCCAGCUGUCCUCCUAUUGAUGUUCCUUAGUGUCUACAAGGCCUUUGUCAUGGAGUGAGCUGGGUGGGGUAUGCGGUGGGUCCAAACAAGGGACGGUAGAGAGCAAUGGUGCUGAUGGAAGAGCCUUCAGACCGCACUUGGCACUAAAUAAAUGUACAGUCAAGAAGCAGAAUGUGCAGAAGCCAACCGUCCUCUAGUAGUAAAGUUCCUGGUCCCACCAGCCUAGGGAAGAGAAAAGAAGGAGCUGAGUGCUGGGCAGAUGCUGGUCGGGAGGAACUCGGAGGUAAGGGACAGUGGCAGUUUGAUACGGCGGCAUCAAGAGCUUGGUGGUCAAGUGCUGAGGACCAAAGCUGAGGGCAGCUGCUUUGAGGACAUUUGGCCCCAUAUCCCCAGUCUCCAUACUCACUCCCUGGACAACAGCGAACUCCAAGUUUCCGGAUUUCAUCAUAGACAAAGAUGAGGAGGCCAUAGGGCAUGGGAACCAGCCACCACUGGAACCUGUAGGCACAGGCAAAAUGGCAAGGUGAAGUCUGUCCCCAAACCUGUGUCCCCUGAUGCUCAUCCCUCUGCCUGCACCUCAUGGCCCUCACCGAAUGGGCAUGAAGUUGAAGAUGUUGGGCAUUCCAGGGCAGUAGCACAGGAAGCAGCCAAUGCAGACCUGGAACACAAUGGCAAUCACCAGGAUCCUGUUCCUGCAGGCAAGGGAGGAUGGGACAAGUUCAGAAUACAGAUUUGGGACAAAGACAGGCUAGAUAGAAAGCAGAGCACUGGGUUAAAGCAGGUCGGAUUUUGACAGUAUGUAGGGAGAUGUUCUAAACCUAGCCAUCAGAGUGUCCAUGCCUCUCUAUAGCAGGAACCAGCCUGCUCCUUGUCACCUGACAGUGGCUAAAACAUGGAAAGCCAGUGGGAGCCCCACAGGGGAGGAACUGGCCGGCUAGAAAGGCUGUGUAUUGGUAGAUUAGCCCCUGGAAUGCUGCAUGGUAUUUGCUGGCUGAGUGAGCCCUGGUCAGGACCUGAUAGGAGUUGGGACCAGCUAUUAGAGGGCAGGGUGGGACAGAGCUGGGGCCAGAUGUGGACACCUGAAGAAGCCUUGCUGGAAAGCAGAGAGACGGCGCGUCUUGCGGAUGAGUACGUCGGCUAUCUGGCACAUCUCGAUGCUGAUGAAGAACACGGUAUAGCAAGUAUAUUGCUGAUACAGGCGCUGGCUGAAUGUCUGUGGACCAGAAAGGGACAACGGGAGCCUCAGCUCAAUACAGGGCCUCUCCAGGCACCAGGCACUAAACUCUCUGGCUAUGAUCCCCUAAAAGCUCCCUCCCCUUCACAUGAGUCAACUUGGGGAAGAGGAAAGCAGCACUGGCAGAACCCCAGAGUCUAACAGAGCUUGGAGAACCUCACCUGGGCACAAAGUAGGUUGGGUCAACCUGCUUGCACACUGAAAGUGAGAAGCAAAAAUUCCCAGGCACUCAAAAGUAAAGGCCCAGGGAAAAGGGAAUUGGAAUCCUGAGGCAGGACUCCAGCAGCCAGGCAGAUGGCAAGAUGGGCCAGGUGGGCCUCUGGGAAUGGAGGGCAUGUGCCCACUUGAAGGGGCAGCGGCUCCAGUCCUUCCUUCAGCACAGCUCAUGUUAAUAGCACCUAAGUGACUGUGCCCCAGCAACAAGUGUUAUCAUGAGUAUCCUACCCCAUCUUCCCAGCAACCCUGUGCAGGAGAUUGGUGGAGUUUGGACUGUAGCAUGCACCAGAUGUCCCCAAGGGCGUGAGGUUCCCAAAGGACUUUCAGGGGGUUUCUGACCCCAGAGGUCUGGGGCAGGGCCUGAGAAUGUAUUUAACAUGAGUUUCUCAUGACUCAGAUACUGCUGCCCCAGGAACAAACAAAACCACUGAGGCAGACAUUAGUAUUCUCCCCAUCUUGCAGGCGAAUAAGCUGAGGCACAGAGAGGAAAGGUGAGUUGCUUAGGGACACAGAGAUUGUGGGGAGAAAUACCAGCCCAUGAACCUAGGCAGUCUGACUUCCAGGUCUACACUCUCAUCUAUGAUAGUAGAUGAUUAAGAGGAAAAUCCUGAUAUGUAAUCUGUUACUCUAAACCCUUUUACCAGCUGCAUCCAGCCUAACUGUUCCAAACCUUCACUGAAAUGGGCCACACACUGCAAAACUGAGGGGUGCUGUAAGGAAGGUAAGAGAAGGGUGUUGACCCCUUCCCCCCCCAAGAUGACGUGCUCCCACCAGGGCAGGGACAGGACCCAUCUGCAGUGUGAGGGUCAGACGUAGGGCCAGAGACAGUGUGGAAAGGCCCCUGACCCUAGAACUGGCAGUAUGGUGCCCAGUAUGCCCUGGCUGAGCUCAGUCCCACAUGAGGCAGUGAGCGAGCGACACAUGAAGUGGGGAGCACUGGACACCAGGGCACGGGGAUGUGGGAGGGACUGGGGCAGGGCCUCACCCACUCCUGGCCAUAGCUGUCCUGAAGAUCUUGUAGGUGAUGGUCCUCCCACUGCGGCCGCAGCCCCACACACAGCAGAGGGAACCAACCCUCCUGGGCCAUGGCCGUGAAGUAGUCAGUGAAGCCAGCAAAUGACUGGAUGGCACCUGAGAGAGAGACAAGAAGACACAUGGAGGGACAGGGACAGAGAUGAAGGAAUAGCAGGGUCACCGAAAGUCACGGUCAGAGAUACUCAAAGAAGGCUCAGGAAAUGGAGCCAGGGACACAGAAGCAGCCAUGGACACAGAAAGACAAAAGAGCCCCAGGAGAGAUUGGUAGGCACACCAGGGAGAGAGGUACAGAGAAAGAAGCACAGGAAGACAGAUGGGGACAAAGUGGGGAGAGACACAUGCAGAAAACGUCCAAAAGACCAUGAGACCAGACACCAUGAGUACCAGAGUGACCACCACAGACAGAAAAACUGAAAUCCAAGAUCAAGCAACACCCCAAGAUCCAGGGAAGCCAGAGCCCACACCCUAUGGUCCUAUUGGGGAGCUCCAGGCAAAAGGCCACCCUGCUAAACAGCCCCACCUCCUAGCCCUUGGCACUCACCGAUCUGGAAGUAGGAAUAGGCCGCCAGGGGUUCAUUGACCAACCGGUCACGCUUUGGGUUCCGUGGGCGCAGGUGCAUGAUGUCACUCUCGGCCUUCUCAUAUGCCAGGGACACAGAGGGAAACUGGCCAGAAGCAGAAAGAACCAAAGGACUGAGGGUUUGCCUGGGUCUGUGACCCCAAGGAUCUGGAGUCAUCCCAACUCUCAACCUUUGGGCAAGAGCAGGACUGGCAGGAUUUGUAGUGAGCACACCUGUGGGACAACCUGGGUCCAGCUCCCCUGUGGGUAUGUCAGUGUGUCUGUCACAAGUGUGGCUGUGUGUGUCUCCAUGAGAAUAUCUGCUGUUAGGACUGUCCUUCAUCUGGAUUACCCACUCCCCCCCCCAACUUCCUCCUCUCUCUCUCUCUCUCUCUCUCUCUCUCUCUCUCUCUCUCUCUCUCUCUCUCUCUGUCGUUUUAUCCUCUGGUCUCUAGGCCACUCCAGUCUGGGCUUCUCUGCUUCUUUUGUUUUUCUGGUCCCUUACUGUAUUUCUUUUGUCCCUGUCUCUAGUUUCUUUCUCUGUGAUUGUGUCUCUCUGUGUCCCUAUCUCCAUACCUCUUUGUCACUGUCUCUUUUUUCUUCACUCUCCCAGUGACCAUGUUCACUCCCUCCCAACUGCUUGUGACACCAGAGAGGUACCAGCAUGUGGUAAGCAAGGGCACAGGCCCUGGGACAUCUAACUGCCUGUUAGCUAUGUUACCUGAAGCAAGCCAUUUAACCCAUCUCUAUCUCAAUGAGUGCAUCAGUAAAACAGGGAGGAUAAUAAUAAAACCCAGGCAUAGGAUAGCUAUUAGGACAUUGGCUAUAUUAGUUAGGCUCUGACCAAAGUGAGCACUGUAUCAAUGUCUUUGAAUAAACACCUAUCAACAUGA